GCUUGACUGUAUCCUGGAAUUGGGUUUCGGUUUUUCUUGCGCAGUCUAGGUGGGAGGCUAUGAAGAUUUCCUUCCGGGGAAAUUAGAGCCAUCAGUGAGAGACCACUCUGGAAGAACUAAAAUUCUAAUGCGUCCUUGAAUCAGGUAUCGCGUUAGGACAGUUUCAGGUGGGCAGUUUUGACUGGGGCGGUCGCCUCCUAAAAGGUAACGGAGGCGCGCAAAGGUUCUCUCAAGGCUGGUUGGAAAUCAGCCAUAGAGUGUAAAGGCAUAAAGAGAGCUUGACUGUGAGACCUACAAGUCGAACAGGGACGAAAGUCGGUCUUAGUGAUCCGACGGCAGAGCGUGGAAUCGCCGUCGCUAAACGGAUAAAAGUUA
rnacentral:rRNA from 1 species